UACAGAGGUCUCAAGCGUUGUUCGGAUUCAUUGGGCGUAAAGGGUGCGUAGGCGGCGCGGUAAGUCGGGUGUGAAAUCUCGGAGCUUAACUCCGAAACUGCAUUCGAUACUGCCGUGCUUGAGGACUGGAGAGGAGACUGGAAUUUACGGUGUAGCGGUGAAAUGCGUAGAUAUCGUAAGGAAGACCAGUGGCGAAGGCGGGUCUCUGGACAGUUCCUGACGUGAGGCACGAAAGGUCAGGGGAGCAAACGGG
rnacentral:rRNA from 1 species